AGAGUUUGAUCCUGGCUCAGGACGAACGCUGGCGGCGUGCCUAACACAUGCAAGUCGAACGGAGUCGGCCCCGCAAGGGACUGACUUAGUGGCGUAACGGGUGAGUAACGCGUGAGCAACCUGCCUUUCAGUGGGGGACAACAGUUGGAAACGACUGCUAAUACCGCAUAAUGCAUUUUGACCGCAUGAUCGAGAUGCCAAAGAUUUAUUGCUGAAAGAUGGGCUCGCGUCUGAUUAGAUAGUUGGUGAGGUAACGGCCCACCAAGUCGACGAUCAGUAGCCGGACUGAGAGGUUGAACGGCCACCAUUGGGACUGAGAUACGGCCCAGACUCCUACGGGAGGCAGCA
rnacentral:rRNA from 1 species